rnacentral:rRNA from 1 species
UCUUGGCCAGCCUUCUGAAAGGAAGAUUAAUCCAGGAUGGGAUCAUGAGUUCACAUGUCCGCAUGAUUAAAGGUAUUUUCCGGUAGACGAUGGGGAUGCGUUCCAUUAGAUAGUAGGCGGGGUAACGGCCCACCUAGUCAACGAUGGAUAGGGGUUCUGAGAGGAAGGUCCCCCACAUUGGAACUGAGACACGGUCCAAACUCCUACGGGAGGCAGCAGUGAGGAAUAUUGGUCAAUGGGCGAUGGCCUGAACCAGCCAAGUAGCGUGAAGGAUGACUGCCCUAUGGGUUGUAAACUUCUUUUAUAAAGGAAUAAAGUCGGGUAUGCAUACCCGUUUGCAUGUACUUUAUGAAUAAGGAUCGGCUAACUCCGUGCCAGCAGCCGCGGUAAUACGGAGGAUCCGAGCGUUAUCCGGAUUUAUUGGGUUUAAAGGGAGCGUAGAUGGAUGUUUAAGUCAGUUGUGAAAGUUUGCGGCUCAACCGUAAAAUUGCAGUUGAUACUGGAUGUCUUGAGUGCAGUUGAGGCAGGCGGAAUUCGUGGUGUAGCGGUGAAAUGCUUAGAUAUCACGAAGAACUCCGAUUGCGAAGGCAGCCUGCUAAGCUGCAACUGACAUUGAGGCUCGAAAGUGUGGGUAUCAAACAGGAUUAGAUACCCUGGUAGUCCACACGGUAAACGAUGAAUACUCGCUGUUUGCGAUAUACGGCAAGCGGCCAAGCGAAAGCGUUAAGUAUUCCACCUGGGGAGUACGCCGGCAACGGUGAAACUCAAAGGAAUUGACGGGGGCCCGCACAAGCGGAGGAACAUGUGGUUUAAUUCGAUGAUACGCGAGGAACCUUACCCGGGCUUAAAUUGCACUCGAAUGAUCCGGAAACGGUUCAGCUAGCAAUAGCGAGUGUGAAGGUGCUGCAUGGUUGUCGUCAGCUCGUGCCGUGAGGUGUCGGCUUAAGUGCCAUAACGAGCGCAACCCUUGUUGUCAGUUACUAACAGGUGAUGCUGAGGACUCUGACAAGACUGCCAUCGUAAGAUGUGAGGAAGGUGGGGAUGACGUCAAAUCAGCACGGCCCUUACGUCCGGGGCUACAC